rnacentral:rRNA from 1 species
CACUAAGCGGGAGGUAAACUCCUUCUAAGACUAAAUAUUACCAUGAGACCGAUAGCGAACAAGUACCGUGAGGGAAAGUUGAAAAGCACUCUGAAUAGAGAGUCAAAAAGUACGUGAAACUGUCUAGGGUUAAGAAAGCAUGAAGUGUCUAAAUAUCUGAAUGGAGAAAUUCAGUAUCAUAUUGUUGUAGUGACAUUGUUUGCGAAGCAUAUGGUAUGCACUUUUCUCCUUGUAAGACACUGCGAUCCAUUAGAACCUUGUGUUAAUAACUACCAUGUUGUGAGUUAUUAUAUCUAUCAAUGGGCCUGGCAUGGAGCUUACAUAUUUAAUGUGAGUACUGUAUAUUGUUAAGGUGAUAUCCAGGAAAGCAAUGUAAACUGCUGGUGACUCGUAUAGAUGUCUGAUGGAUUUCAAUAGCGAUCACAAUAUGACACCCUUGUGGUGUAACCAGCAAUGGUUUAUUGUAUUGUGUCGGAUCAGCAGUGUAUUUGUUUAGUAAUCUUCAUGA